AGGUACAUUUCGUUUGAUGUGAAGCUCACACGUUCACCUUCUUAGCUCUAGUGUCUUGUUUUGGCGUGCUGGGGCGCUGCUGUUUCAGACUCGCCAGACGUGUGCUACGGAGCGCUGCCUAGAAGUGGAGGUGGUCUCGUCGUUCAUUGUGGGUGGCGUCUGAGUUGCACAAACGGCACGCAUUGCCGUAUCACAGCUUUUUUUUUUGCGAACUGCGGCUGCUUUUUUUUUGUUUUUGUCGAUUUCUCGCUCUUUGUGUGGACCGCGCUGGAGGCACCGCCGCAGCGAAUCCGUGCAUCUUCUGACUCGGCGCCGCUUUUCCUCGUUAGCUGAAAUCGUUGAAACAUCGGCGGCAGCUCGUCUUCAGGUAGCAUACCUGGAGCUGAGCCAAACAGGUCAGGAGGAGAGGUGACGGCGGCUUGCUCGAGCCACGUGCAUGGGGGAAAGUACUUCUCCGCCCUCGACUUCACUUCGAUGUGUGUGGGCCACCUCUUUGCACUCCUCUCGGUUCCGUUGUUCUGGCAGUGCUUUUCUGUUGUCACUCUUCUCAGAGGAAGAGAAGCCCUGAGACGGGGGCGCGCACACGGCAAAGUAUCGUCCCUCCUGUUUUGUUUGUUUUUCGUUCUUUGGGGGCGUGGACUCCGGGGUCGCUCUGGGUCACCAGCCUGCAGCCGUGCUGCCGCCACCGCUGCUCUUUAUCACGAAGGAGAGACACCUGUAGCUUAUUCGUCCUGCGCAUUGCAUCGGAGCGGGUGAAAUCGGUACAUUGACUGCCGAGCCCUCCUUCCUUCCCCCUUGUCUAGCUCCAACACACGUCUCCAUACACGCACAUACGCACGCGAGCAUACGCUCUUCGUGUGUGCGAUAAGGACCCAGUGACUCGAUAGCUAGUAGGCGCCUGUUUUGACGGCAGGGCUAUCCCUCCAGUUCACUUCUUUCGUCACUCUAUUAUUAUUAUUAUUAUUAUUAUUGAAUGUGAUUUGCGCUGUAGCAACCCUCAUCCUAUCAUCUUUGCGUGCCCCCGCGUGUGCCCAGGUGCGCCAAUCCACAACUAGAGAGACACCUCAUCCACUCACCAAGAGAAAGGUGCCGAGCUUUCUCUCUUCCUCCCUCCCUCCCUCCCUCCUUCCCCCCUUCUGCAGCUGCCACGUGUGCUUCUCUGCCGUGCUGCUCAACCGAGCCAGCUUUCCAAGCUUCAUCAGCACUGCCCUACUCCCCGUUUCGUUUUUUUUUUGUAGUAGUAGAACUUAGAGGCAUCAGCGCGACAAGAGAGCCAUGCUGUGCGACGAAGAGGAGUGCAUCAAGGUCAUCGUGGUGGGCGAUGGCAAUGUUGGCAAGACGUGUAUGCUGCGCCGCUUUGUGAGGGGCGACUUUGUCGAGCAGUACCGCAAGACCAUCGGCGCCGAAUUUAUGGAAAAGGAUGUGUUCCUGCGGUCCUCCAACACGACGGUGAAGCUCAUGCUUUGGGACACCGCAGGACAGGAAGUGUUUAACGCGCUCACGCAAGCCUACUACCGCGGCGCCGGUGCCGCCAUCCUGACGUUUAGCACCGUCGAUCGCGACAGCUUCAUGAACAUCGCGGGGUGGAAGCAGCGGGUCGAGUCCGUCUGUGGCCCUAUUACGAUGGUCUUGUGCCAGACAAAGUUCGACCUCUCUCACGAGGCCGUCAUUACGAAUACGGAGGCGGAGAAGCUAGCCAACCAGCUCGGGGUGCCGCUUUUCCGCGUGUCCACUAAGGAUGACUUUAAUGUAACGCAGCUGUUCGAGUUCACGGCGCAGCAGUGCGUCGAAAACUCGGCGCAGGAUGAGGAGCAAGUCGAAGACAUGCCGAAAGGUAAUCGCUUAGAUGACGGAAAGGAACCGACGGCAGGGACGCCCGCAGCGGUAGCGUCUUCGACGACCUCGGAUGAACAGCAUGGUGGCGCUGGUGUGCCUGCCGCACGAGCGCCUAACGCGGCGGCCACGUCCUCAUCUCCACCAGCUGCCGGGAAUUCGAGUUUGAGCGGCGAUGUCAUAAAGCACGCUUUCAGGAAAUCGGUCAAGUCAAAGAACGGGGGCAGGAACGAAAAGAAGGCGUUGUCUAGCGCGAAAAACAGUGUGACGCUUAAGGAGCAGCACGGGCAGGGACAUCACAAGAAAAAGCAGUUCAAGUGCUCCCUCUGCUAGACUACCUGCUGCUGCUGCUGCCUUUCGUUGCCUCUGCUUCACUCUUUCCCAACUCAUUCGAUUCCGUUUUAUCCGAAUCAGAGGUUCAGACAAGCGCACGGCGUUUAUUCGCGUGGGCGUGCAUGCCGGACAGAAGGCCUGCCAUGUCCCCCCUCCUCCACGCAGGUUUGCUGGUUGUACGUGCGUUGCCUUUUUCGGUGCUGCGACUGCUUUCUUUAGCGCGCUGCGCCACCCGUCUCCGCUCCAUGUCUUUCAGGUCACCGACUGCUGUGUUUUGUGCCGCUGCCUCACUGCCUGCUCGUUGUUUUUUUGUUUUGCUUUGGGCUUCGACCUUUUGGUGUACGACUUUGCUUUGUAUACAUGUAAUUUUUUUGUGUGGGGGGAUUUCGUUCUCUUUAGAGCCCCCCUCCGCCCUUUUUCCCGUUGACAGAGCCCUCCCCCCUCACCUGCCGUUUGCUAUGAGGGCGUCCGACCGGGCGUUGCGCCGGGUGUGCUACGCGCGAUUUGACGACAGCUCGAGGCUCAGAGCACACCUCAUUUCACGCCAUGGUCUUGCACGCAGCGACCAGAGUACGCACAUCUCCCUCGCACCGCAUGUGGCUCCUCCGUCGGGUGUCCAUCGCUGCACCCCUAUGCCCCUCUACAGGCUGGCACGCUAUGGGCCCUUUUGUGCGCUGGCACACGUCUCUGCGCGGGCCCCUUCCGCUUGACACGCCCGCGCCUGUCAGAGGCGUGCGGACUCAGGAGAGGGUGGAAUGCCCCUGCUGCCACAGACUCAUGGCGGCGUCCCACCUGUCGCGGCGCAUGCGGGCAAGCCAUGCAGACACGCCUCCCCCACCCCCCUCGGCGGCAUCCACGGACGUGGGGGGUGAAGACAGCGAGCCCGCCAGACAGCACUGCUGUCCUGCAACGGACCCCGAGGCCCACUGGUGCGGGCACUGUGCGCACGCGCAUGCCGAGCACCGCUGGCAUGUGGUGUGCCGCAUCCAACCGAGGCACGCGGCCGCCAGGAGGGCGCGAGUGAUGAGCGAGAAAGGCGCGAAGGCAUCCACACCGAGGAGCACCACGGUGCACGUGCACGCGCUGUGCGGCACCUCCUUCAUCCGACCAGGUGGGCUGAUGAGGCGCACAUGCCGGCAGCAUCACGAGAGCACCCUCGAGUCCUGCAGGCGCCGGGGUGGAGAGCGGCCGCACCACAUUGCGGAAUGCCACGGCUCGAGGCCCCUCAGGGCGAGGCAUGGCAUACAGGCAGGGUGUGCAGGGUCUCAGAGGGAGCCUGGCCUGAGGCUGGCCAACCUCCUCCCUGAGCUCACCCGGCACGCGCCCGGGCCACCACCCCGCUGCUCCACGCACGACAGAUGCCCACCGCCACCACCCUCGAGCCGGACUGCGCACGCGGCCCACGUGGGUCAAUGCGCGCAGUGGGCCCGGGCCCGUCUGGCGCCGAUCACGCAGCACGUACGUGAAAGAAGGGACGAGGACGGGCACGAAGUGCCCGCAAGGUGCAUGGCCCGACUCGGCAGCAGGGACGGCUCGCCCUACACAACGAGGAUGCAGCCGUGGCGCAGCAGAAGGCAGGUGAACUGUAGUCGUGUACCCGUGUACAUCUUUGUGGGCGGGCUCGUGGUGAAAGGGCGCGUGGGAAAGGAAAAAUGUUUUUUUUUUUGUUACUGCAUAGCGGCAUCUCCCUCUUUCUGUAGACGUUGUUGCCACUCCCACCCUCUUUGUGACGGGGUGGAUAAGUGAGAACGCAAAGCCACGAAGGUGAGCGCGCGCUCCGGUGGAUUCCGUACUCAGGCAAGGAAGGCGGACAGACGGAGAAUGAUGUCUUGUUCCACAACUGGCACCUUUACGCGUUUUGUUUUAGUUUUCGUGCGCAUCAUAGGGGAUUAAUGCAUACGGCUGCAUGCGGUAGCGGCUGAUCAUCACAUCCCCAAGCACGCAUCCCGGUGAGCUUUCUCUGUGCCAUAUUCGCGAAUACCAGAAGUUACCGGAAGCUUGCGACCUCCGCACUAUGCAAACGAACGUACGCUUCCACAAAGCUGCUUCAUGUUAGAGGUUAUAGGAUGGGCAACUACGGAUGUGAAGGGAACGGCAAAGGCCUUUUAUGGCUCUUGUGUUGCUCAACGUGUCUGUCGGAUGCACAGCAAGCAAACGAGUAGAAUACGUCCGCCCGCACACGCCCACCAAGUUCUACGGGCAUGCUCGCCAUCUCCAUCACAAAAGACCAGAGCAGGGGGGGGAAUAGUAUUCUCAAUCAGUCAUUAGUACGAAGACUGUAACUUUAGAGAGCAUCGCCGAGAUAUCGUGGGGACGCUGGCAUCCGGUGGAGGAGUCGUCAUGCUGCAUAGUUCUCGACUUUGUACACCAGCGUAGGAGAGAGAAUGACGUGUGCUGCUCUCAUGACCUGCCGACUCAGAUCCCUAUCUCCUGCUUCUCCAAGCCUCCCGCCUGUCACACUUCUUAUUUAUCUGCUUACCGUUUUUUUUUCCUACCUCCCGUUGCUGGAGGCUACUUCUGCCGUGCUUACUGACCCCGCUGCACUCCGCCGUCCCCCUAUUGACCCUCCUUCUCUUUCCUUCUUUUCUUGUUGCGGUCGUUGCCAUCCUUUCCUUUUUUUUUUAUCGCGCGUCUGCAUAUGCGUGUGUCUGUGUGUGUCGUACGCCGCCGUCCUUUGUUUCACACCUUUUUUUGUAAAUAUGGCCCUCUCUGUCUUUCUGUGGCUGGCUGCGCUGGGUUUCAUCUUUCUCACUUGCCCUUACCCCGCUCUGCGUCUCCUCUUUAUGCGUGUUUGUCUUUCUAUGUGUGUGUAGGCUCGCAGUGGCUAAUACUGCUUCUCUUCCAUUUUCGAUUUUCUUUGUGACGUGCUUACCAGGCUUUGCUGUUUUUUUUUUCUGUCUCUCUGUCCCCCCCCUCUUUUUCCACCGCUGCCCACCUUUUUUUCCUCCUCCCUCGUGUGGACGAUCGUAGGUGCGCAUGCCUGCGUGCAUGUGUGAGCAAUUUUCUCUACUGCUUCUCUGCUAACCAGCAAAAGAACGAGACGGAGAAAGAACAGCGGGUGCGAUGACUGCGCCUUCUGCCCUCUCCGUGUUCAGUCUUUCGUGUCCCUCUCGCUGCAGCUUUUGCGUUCGUUUUGUUCCUCUGUCUGUUGUGUAGCCCCGGUGUCUGUUGGUGCGCCCGCAAAGAGGUGACGGCAUGCCGUCCUCUCCCCCAAACAAAAAAAAAGCGAUCCAGUUUCUUGCGCGAAGCUGCAUGUGUGCAGGCGAGUAUGUGUGUGCGCCGACGCCGACUCAAGCGUGCCUUAACGCCUUCAUCUCAACACGAAGAGAGAAUACACACACACGCACACACGAGCACAUAUAUAGGACUCGGAAGGUGUCCCUUACCCUAGCCACGAUGGGUGAGCGGAGGGACGAUGGUAGAGGGACUUUGACAGGAAAGGCUGUCAUCGACAUCGUUCUGUGCUGUUGCCCCCAGUUUCGAGCAAACACUCUACAGUUACUCUGAGACCGGAUGCACUUCUUGUAGUGCCACUGCACUCUUCCGUUGCCUGAGUCGCUUUCUACUAGAUGAAGAAUGCAGCGACCAUUGAAUGCGUCGCGCCUAUGUGCGUGCGUGCGUAUUGGUGCAGCUUGUCCUCCAUUUCCCCUCACGUCAGCUCAUAUAGUUGCUACUGGUUCUCACCUCAGCACGUCUGCUCUCCUCUUCGCCCUCGGCUCUCUCCCUCUCACAUGUUUUUUUUUUUUUUGUCGACACUUCAG
rnacentral:misc_RNA from 1 species